UACGAAGGGGGCUAGCGUUGUUCGGAAUUACUGGGCGUAAAGCGCACGUAGGCGGAUAUUUAAGUCAGGGGUGAAAUCCCGGGGCUCAACCCCGGAACUGCCUUUGAUACUGGGUAUCUAGAGUCCAGAAGAGGUGAGUGGAAUUCCGAGUGUAGAGGUGAAAUUCGUAGAUAUUAGGAAGAACACCAGUGGCGAAGGCGGCUCACUGGUCCGGUACUGACGCUGAGGUGCGAAAGCGUGGGGAGCAAACAGG
rnacentral:rRNA from 1 species